CCUUGGCCUCUCCUUUUUUUUCUUUUUCUUUUCCUUUUUCAUCAUUUUUCUUUUUUCGAUUUUGUUUUUUUUAUUUUGAUAUUUUUUUAUUUUUUUGACUUUUUUUGAUUUGAUUUUUUUUCAGAUUUUUCUUUGAUUGAAUAUGAACUCAUAGGAUUAGGCAAGUCCUGGUUAUCCCUUUCGAUCAGAAUCAAUGUUUUUUUAGAUAAAGUCUUCCAUACAAGAUCUUCUACUUUCACUUUGUA
rnacentral:lncRNA from 1 species